rnacentral:rRNA from 1 species
AUUGAACGCUGGCGGCAGGCCUAACACAUGCAAGUCGAGCGAGCGGCGGACGGGUGAGUAAUGUGUGGGAAACUGCCCGAGGGAGGGGGAGAAAUACUGGAAACGGUAGGUAAUACCGCAUACCAUCAGAUGUGCCCAGAUGGGAAUAGAGAGUAGGUGGGGUAACGGCCCACCUAGGCGACGAGCCCUAGCUUGUCUGAGAGGAGGACCAGCCACACUGGGACUGAGACACGGUCCAGACUCCUACGGGAGGCAGCAGUGGUGAAUAUUGCACAGUGGGCGCUAGCCUGAUGCAGCCAUGCCGCGUGUGUGAAGAAGGCCUUAGGGUUGUAAAGCACUUUCAGCGGGGAGGCGUUACCCGCAGAAGAAGCACCGGCUAACUCCGUGCCAGCAGCCGCGGUAAUUC